ACUCAAAGGAAUAGACGGGGGCCCGCACAAGCGGUGGAGCAUGUGGUUUAAUUCGAUGCAACGCGAAGAACCUUACCUGGGCUUGACAUCCUCGGAAGCUUGUAGAGAUAUAAGCGUGCCUUCGGGAACCGAGAGACAGGUGCUGCAUGGCUGUCGUCAGCUCGUGUCGUGAGAUGUUGGGUUAAGUCCCGUAACGAGCGCAACCCUUGUCCUUAGUUGCUACCAGGUUAUGCUGAGCACUCUAAGGAGACUGCCGGUGACAAGCUGGAGGAAGGGAGGGACGAUGUCAAGUCAUCAUGGCCUUUAUGCCCAGGGCUACACACGUGCUACAAUGGUAGUUACAGAGGGAUGCCAAACCGCGAGGUGGAGCAAAUCCCAGAAAAGCUAUCAUAGUCCGGAUUGGAGUCUGCAACUCGACUCCAUGAAGCUGGAAUCGCUAGUAAUCGCGGAUCAGCAAUGCCGCGGUGAAUACGUUCACGGGCCUUGUACACACCGCCCGU
rnacentral:rRNA from 1 species